CCCAAAGAGCUGGCGGCGUCAUUCCCAUUUUACAAAUGAGAACACAGGUUCAGAGGUGGAGCGACUCACGUUGUAAGCGAUGGAGCUGGGAUUUGAAAACACUGUAUCCCGCUUGGCAGAAAACUGGCAAGUAGGCAUCCAUAUGGUCUCUGUAUUUACCAGUGGCUGGAAGCUUGCUUUGUACAUUACUCUGCACGACACCACAUGACUGCUCCUGACAGUAAUUUGAGGAGCUUCUGAUGAUGGUAAACUUGCACAGUAUGUUCAAAACCAACCUACAAUCUGUGUUACGCCUGUAUGUUUCACAAGGAACAUGUCUGUAUAUUUCGACUCCAGAAAUAUAAUUUGUCAAACCAAUUAUCGUACCUAAAAUGUCUUGAGCUGUGUUUUAUAAUAAUUUACACAAAUGAGUUCCAUUUCAUGUAAUUAACCUAUUCCAGUGUGAUGUUUCUCACCCCAACUUUGUCAGCUCUCUUUCCAGCACAGAAACAGAGUUCCACUAACCAUCGCCAAAGGCAGGACCUGUGAACAGCUGAAGCACCUCCUGGUCUCUGCUCUGCUGAGCCUUCCAUAGCAAAUCCCAGGCAGACAGGGUCCUGAGGAUUGAUGGCACCUGGGCAGCAGGUGUGACCUUCCACAACAUUCUCUUAUGCCUCUCUGAAAGCCAGUAAUCUCCCGGCAUGGUGGCUCAUGCCUGUAACGUCAGAGUUUUGGAAAGCGGAGAUGGGAGGAUCACUUCAGGUCAGGAGUUUGAGACCAGCCUAGGCAUCAAAGUGAGCCCCUAUCUCUACAAAACAUUUUUUUUAAUUAGCCAGGUGUGGUAGUGCAUGCCUAUAAUCCCAGUUACUAGGGAGGCUGAGGCAAGAGGAUCGCUUAAGCCCAGGAGGUUGAAGCUGCAGCGAGCUGUGAUUGCACCACUGCACUGCAGCCUAGGCGAUAGAGCAAGACCCUGUCUCAAAAGAAAAAAGAAGGGCCGGGCGCGGUGGCUCACUCCUAUAAUCCAGCACUUUGGGAGGCCGAGGCGGGCGGAUCACGAGGUCAGGAGAUUGAGACCAUCCUGGCUAACACGGUGAAACCUUGUCUCUACAGGCCGGGCGCGGUGGCUCACACUUGUAAUCCCAGCACUUUGGGAGGCCGAGGUGGGUGGGUCACGAGGUCAGGAGAUCGAGACCAUGGUGAAACCCCGUCUCUACUAAAAAUACAAAAAAUUAGCCGGGCGUGGUAGCGGGCGCCUGUAGUCCGAGCUACUUGGAGAGGCUGAGGCAGGAGAAUGGCGUGAACCCGGGAGGCGGAGCUUGCAGUGAGCCGAGAUCACGCCACUGCACUCCAGCCUGGGUGACAGAGCGAGACUCUGUCUCAAAAAAAAAAAAAGAAACCCUGUCUCUACUAAAAAUAAAAAAAUCAGCCGGGCGUGGUGGCACACGCCUGUAGUCCCAGCUACUCAGUAGGGCAAGACAGGAGAAUCGCUUGAACCCGGGAAGCGGAGGUUGCAGUGAGCCGAGAUCACGCCACUGCACUCCAGCUUGGGAGACAGAGUGAGACUCGGUCUCAAAAAAAAAAGAGGAAAGAAGAAAAACAAAACAAAUGGUCAAUAAACUUACGAAAAAGUGCCCAACUACAGCUAUAAGCAGGAAAAUGCAAAUUAAACCCACAAUGAGUUGCCUGCCCGACAGGCUAAGAGAGUAGAAGUACGAGCUGGUGCCAUCACUGGGGAAAUCAGUGACAUGGCCUCAUAGAGCUGAAGCUAGGGCUGUGCUGUGGCCCAGCAGCGAUUUAGGUGCUCUACGUACACACCUUACCAGCACUCUAUGUAACAACAGCCCCAGGUGUUCAUCUGUACUGGAAUGCAUGAUCGGUGUGAUGGAGUCACAUUAGGUUGCUGUAAAAGGACUUGAGGUUUUGGCCAUUAAAAGUAAUGACAGGGCGGGUGCGAUGGCUCACACCAGUUAUCCCAACACUUUGGGAGGCUGAGGUGGGCAGAUCACUUGAGGUCAGGAGUUUGAGACCAGCCUGGGCAAAAUGGCAAAACCCUGUUUUUGCUGAAAAUACAAAAAUUAGCUGGGCAUGGUGGCACACACCCGUAAUCCCAUCUACUCAGGAGGCUGAGGCAGGAAAAUCGCUUGAACCCAGGAGGUGGAGGUUGCAGUGAGAUGAGAUCAUGCAACUACACUCCAGCCUGGGCAACAGAGCGAGACUCCGUCUCAAAAAAAAAAAAGAAAGAAAAAAAAGAGGCCAGGCACGGUGGCUCACGCCUAUAAUCCUAGCACUUUGGGAGGCCGAGGCAGGUGGAUCACCUGAGGUCAGGAGUUCGAGACCAGCCUGGCCAACAUGGCAAAACCUCAUCUCUACUAAAAAUACAAAAAUUAAUUGGGCAUGGUGGCACAUGCCUGUAAUCCCAGGUACUCGGGAGGCUGAGGCAGGAGAAUCACUUGAACCCCAACGGGGGCGGAGGUUGCAGUGAGCCGAGAUCGCACCACACCACUGCACCCCAGCCUGGGUGACAGAGUAAGACCCCUCAAAAAUAAAUAAAUAAGUAAAAGUAAUGACAAAAACCACAAUUUCUUUGGCACCAACCUAAUACAGUGUAAUAUUAUUGGUAACAAAACAAUGAAGUACAACUAAAUGCAACAACAUGAGUGAGUCUUGAACAUACGCCAAGGAGAGGAAAGCCAAACACAAAAGAAUAUAUGUGAUCCCAUUGACAUGUGAAUUUCAAAAACAGCUAAUAACUUUAUUAUAGUGUUUGAGAGUGUAUGUUUGGUAGUAAAAGUAUAAAGAUGGCGAGGCACAGUGGCUCACCCUUGUAAUCCUAGCACUUUGGGAGGCCGAGGCAGGUGGAUCACAAGGUCAGGAGUUCGAGACCAGCCUGGCCAACGUGGUGAAACCCCAUCUCUACUAAAAAUACAAAAAAUUAGCUGGGAGUGGGUGGCGUGCACCUGUAAUCCCAGCUAUUUGGGAGGCUGAGGCAGAAGAAUCGUUAAACCCAGGAGGCAGAGGUUGCUGUAAGCGGAGAUAGUGCCACUGCACUCCAGCCUGGGCAACAGAGCGAGACUCCCUCUCAAAAAAAAAAGUAUAAAGACAAGGAGGUGAUUAGCAUAAUGUUACAACAACCAGGAUGUGGAUGCCUUUGGGGCAGCAAAGGAACACAGAGGCUUGGCCGUGGCCAGCAAGAUUCUCAUGCUUGCCCUUGGUGGUGUCAGGUUUUGCUUUACAAUAAUUCACAAGAUUUAUGUCUGAUAUGCUUUUCUCUGUGUCUUAUGUUUUACAAUUAAGGAAGGGUUUUACAAAGCACAUAUGGUCCAGCCUGGCCAACAUAGUGAAACCUGUCUCUACUAAAAAAUACAAAAUUAGCUGGGCAUGGUGGUGCGGGCCUGUAGUCCCAGCUACUUGGGAAGCUGAGGUGGUAGGAUCACUUGAGCCUGGGAGGUGGAGCAACUCACCUAAUUUUACAUGAAUGGGAUAACUUAUCAAGUGACAGCAUCACACGAUUUGUGUGUGUGUGUGUGUGUGUGUGUGUGUGUGUGUGUGUGUGAUGGGGUCUUGCUCUGUCACCCAGGCUGGAGUGCAGUGGCAUAAUCAUAGCUCAUGGUAGCCUCAACCUCCUGGGCUCAAGCAAUCCUCCACACCCAGCCUCUUGAGUAGCUGCGAGUAUAGGUCUGCACCACCAUGCCUGGCUAAUCCCAGCCUCUUGAGUAGCUGGGAGUAUAGGUCUGCACCACCAUGCCUGGCUAAUUUUUUUGUUUUUUGUUUUUUGGUUUUUUUUGUGAUGGAGUUUCGCUCUUGUUGCCCAGCCUGGAGUGCGGUGGCAUGAUCUUGGCUCACUGCAAACUCCGCCUUCCAGUUUCAAGCGAUUCUCCUGCUUCAGCCUCCCGAGUAGCUGAGAUUACAGGUGCACACAACCAUGCCUUGAUAAUUUUUGUAUUUUUAGUAGAGACAGGGUUUCACCAUGUUGGCCAGACUGGUCUCAAACUCCUGACCUUGUGAUCUGCCGGCCUCGGCCUCCCAAAGUGCUGGGAUUACAGGCGUGAGCCACCGCACCCAGCCACUAAUUUUUUUUUUUUUUUUUUUUUUUUUUUUUUGAGACGGAGUCUCACUCUGUCACCAGGCUGGAGUGCAGUGGCGUGAUCUCACGAUUAUUUGAGGGAGCCUUCCUUGGAGCUCACCACAUGUAAGGGCAGACCCAGUAGCUGUUAUCAGCCCCAUCUCUCAACAGAGAGAGAAAGUAACUUGCCUAAGUUCACACAGCUAGUCAGAAUUCUUGGGUUGCUGAGGAAGGAUGAACCAUCAUAGGCUGGAAAUGAAAUAGGUCAAAACUCCUUCAAAUAAUUUUAUAAAUGUUGGCUCAACUUUUUGAGAAUGAAAAUAAUACGUCUAUUUAUAAUACUUAUUAAUUUGGUUUUACCUACAUUUUUCUUUUUUCUUUUUUUUUUGGAUACAGUCUCGCUGUUGCCCAGGCUGGAAGCUGGAGUGCAAUGGCGUGAUCUCGUCUCAUUGCAACCUCUGCCUCCUGGGUUCAAGUGUUCUUGUGCCUCAGCCUCUACAGUAGCUGGGAUUACAGGUGCCCACACCAUGCCUGGCUAAUUUUUGUAUUUUUAGUAGAGACGGAGUUUUGCCAUGUUGGCCAGGCUGGUCUCAAACUUCUGACCUCAAGUGAUCCACCUGCCACAGCCUCCCAAAGUGUUGGGAUUACAGGUAUGAGCCACUCCACCCAACCAUUAUGUACAUAUUUCAAAUCACAUUUUGUAGAGAGACUAUCUUUAGUAAAUGUUUUUCUUUUUUUGUUUUUAGAGACACAGUCUCACUAUAUUGCCCAAGCCAAAGUGCAGGUGUGAUCAUUGCACAUGACAGCCUCAAACUCCUGGGCUCUAGCAAUCUUCCUGCCUCAGCCUCCUGAGUAGCCAGCUGCAGAUCAGUAGUGGGACUCUGCUGGUGAAUAGCCAUUGCAACCUGGGCAAUAUGGCAAGACGUUGUAAUCCCAGUACUUUGGGAGGCCUGGGCAGGUGGGUGGAUCACUUGAAGUCAGGAGUUUGAGACCAGCCUGUUCAACAUGGCAAAACCCCAUCUUUACUAAAAAUGCAAAAAUUAGCCAGGCAUAGUGGUGAGCGCCGGUAAUCCCAGCUACUCAGGAGGCUGAGGCAGAAGAAUCGCUGUAAGAUAAAAGCCUAUAAGAUAAAAAACAAGUUGGUUACUUCCAAUAUACAAUGGUGGUACCAGCAAUGGGUAAACAUUCCCAUUCCAAAAGGGAGAAAUUGGCCAACAGAAAGAGGUAACAGUCUCCAGGCAAGUCUGAAACCCAGCAGGGCAGACAUUAAGCCUUAAAGCUUAAUCUCCCUUUACUCCAUGUCAAGGGAGAGCCCCCAUGACUGCUGUCCCAGGUUAGAGUCUGCUGCCUGUGGCUUUUCCAGGCUGAGGAUGCCAGCUGCUGGUGGAUCUACGUUUCUUGGGUCUGAUCUGGAGGGUAGUGGUCCCCUUCCCACAGCUGCACUAGGCAGUGCCCCAGUGGGGCCUCUGUGUGUGGGAUCCAACACCACAUUUCCCCUCAGCACUCCCCUAGUAGAGUCUCUCUGCAGGGGCUCCAUCUCUGCUGCAGGCUUCUGCCUGGGCACCUGGGCUUUCUGAUACAUCCUGUGAAAUCUAGGUGGGAGCUGUUAAGCCUCCUUCACUCUUGCGUUCUGUGCACCUGCAGGUUUAACACCAUGUGGAAGCUGCCAAGUCUUAUAGAUUGUGCCUUUAGGAGUAGCAGUUCAGUUAGAUCUGGGACCUUUGGGCUGUGGCUGGAGCUGGAGAGCCAAAAUGUAGGAAGCAGUGUCCUGAGGCUGCACAGGACAGUGGAGCCCUGGGCCUGGCCCCUGAAGCCAUGCUUUCCUCCUAAGCCUCUGGGCCUAUGAUGGGAGGGGCUGUCCUGAAGACUUCCAAAAUGGCUUCCAGGCCUGUUUUCCAUUUCUUGACUCUUAGCACUUGGCUCCCUUUUAGUCAUGUAAAUCUCUCUACCAAAUGAUUGUUCCACAAGCUCCUUGAAUUCCACCCCCAAAAAUGUUCUUUCCUUCUCUACCUAACACAUGGCCAGGCUGCAAAUUUCCAAACUUUUCUGCUCUGCUUCCCAUUUAUUUCUUUACUUAUAUAUUUAUUGAGAUGGAGUUUUGCUCUUGUUGCCCAGGCUAGAGUGCAGUGGCACAGUCUCAGCUUACUGCAACCUCCGCCUCCCAGGUUCAAGUGAUUCUCCUGCCUCAGCCUCCCGAGUAGCUGGGAUUACAGGCAUCCGCCACCACGCCUGGCUAAUUUUGUAUUUUUAGUAGAGGCAGGGUUCCACCAUGUUGGUCAGCCUGGUCUUGAACUCCUGACCUCAGGUGAUCUGUCUGCCUCAGCCUCCUAAAGUGCUGGGAUUACAGGCGUGAGCCACCACGCCUGGCUGUUUAUUUAUUUUUUUGAGACAGAGUCUCACUCUGUCACCCAGGCUGGAGUGCAGUGGCAUAAUCUCGGCUCAUUGCAACCUCCGCCUCUUGAGUUCAAGUGAUGCUCCUGCCUCAGCCUGCCACAUACCUGGGAUUACAGCACAUGCCACCAUGCCCGGGUAAUUUUUGUAUUUUUUUGGUAGAGAUGGGGUUUCACCAUGUUGGCAAGGCUAGUCUUGAACUCCUGACCUCAGUUGAUCCGCCCACCUUGGCCUCCCAAAGUGUUGGAAUCACAGGCGUGAGCCACCGCGUCUGCCUUUUUUUUUCUUUCGAGACAGAGUCUUGCUCUGUCACCCAGGCUGGAGUGCAGUGGUGCUAUCUCGGCUCAUUGCAACCUCCGCCUCUCAAGUUCAAGUGUUUCUCUUACCUCAGCCUCCCGAGUAGCUGGGACUACAGGCAUGCGCCACUACACCCAGCUAUUUUUUCUGUAUUUUUAGUAAAGAUGAGGUUUUACCAUGUUCCCCAGGCUGGUUUCGAACUCCUGAACUGAAGCGAUCUGCUUGCUUUGGCCUCCCAAAGUGCUGGGAUUACAGCCAUGAGCCACCACACCCAGCCAGGAUUACAUUUUCCAUACGAGACCAGUGUAUACAUUACAGCAAUUUUAUUGGUGUAAUUUCAAGGAAGAUAAUUUAUUACUCCCUCUGUAGGGAUCGUAAUCUGUGAGAGUCUUAUCUCUGGCUCCAUUUAGUCUUCCUAAUUAUUUAUUUAUUAAAAACAGUUUUAUAGAGACAGGGUCUCUCUGUGUUGUCCUGGCUGGUCUGGAACUCCUGGGAUCUAGCCAUUCUCCUGCCUCAGCCUCCCAAAGCAGUGGGUAUAGGCAUGAGCCACCACACCCGGCCUAGUCUUCCUAAUUAUUUAUAGAAAAAAAAGGCGGAAGUUGCCAGGCGCGGUGGCUCAUGCUUGUAAUUCCAACACUAUGGGAGGCCAAGGCGGGUGAUCACAAGGUCAGGGGUUCGAGACCAGCCUGGCCAACAUGGUGAAACCCCAUCUCUACUAAAAAUACAAAAAUUAGCUGGGCAUGGUGGUGGGCGCCUGUAAUCCCAGCUACUCAGGAGGCUGAGGCAGGAGAAUCACUUGAACCCGGGAGGCGGAGGUUGCAGUGAGCUGAGAUCGUGCCAUUGCACUCCAGCCUGGGUGACAAAGCAAGACUCUGUCUCAAAAAAAAAAAAAAAAAAAAAGCUGCAUGCCAUGUGAGUCAAGCCACCUAGCCACAUUCCUCUCAAGGGUCAGAAUAAUUUAAAAUUCCAACAGCUGUAAAUUUGAAUUCUUUCACAUACUGAACUGUCAAAAACCCAGUCAUUGUCCCUUCGAGCUCAUCAGCUCAGCAGCAGGCUGGGACAGAUGCCUGGGAUGACAUGAAUUCCUCCUGUUCCUUCUGUCUUUCUUUAAACAAGUCACCAGGGGCCAUAUCCAUGCCCCGUGGUGGGUAAAUGGUGUUGUGUCCCUAAAGACCUCCCGCUCAAGGCUGUCUCUGGCCAGGAAUGUGGAUUUCUUAAUGCACAGUUUGACCAGCUCCUUCACUGCCAGGCAUAGAUCUUUGGGUAUUGUAAGUGUUCAGUAAGCGCCCGUGAAAGGUCAGAGAUGGGGGCAGACGGUGGAAGUGAUUCAGAGAAACAAGAAGGAGAAUUUGAUUGCGGUAUGAAAAGGCUUCCACAAGCAGCCAAAGAUAAAAUAUGCCUAUUGAUCUGCAGGAUGUUAAAUUAAUAAAACGGCCAGGCGCGGUGGCUCACGCCUGUAAUCCCAGCACUUUGGGAGGCCGAGACGGGCAGAUCAUGAGGUCAGGAGAUCGAGACCGUCCUGGCUAACAUGGUGAAACCCCGUCUCUACUAAAAAUACAAAAAAUUAGCUGGGUGUGGUGGCGGGCACCUGUAGUCCCAGCUACUUGGGAGGCUGAGGCAGGAUAAUGGUGUGAACCCGGCGGAGCUUGCAGUGAGCUGAGAUCACACCACUGCACUCCAUCCUGGGCAACAGAGUGAGACUCCGUCUCGCCGGGCGCGGUGGCUCACACUUGUAAUCCCAGCACUUUGGGAGGCCGAGGCGGGCGGAUCACGAGGUCAGGAGAUCGAGACCACGGUGAAACCCCGUCUCUACUAAAAAUACAAAAAAAUUAGCCGGGCGUGGUGGCGGGCGCCUGUAGUCCCAGCUACUCGGAGAGGCUGAGGCAGGAGAAUGGCGUGAACCCGGGAGGCGGAGCUUGCAGUGAGCCGAGAUUGCGCCACUGCACUCUAGCCUGGGCAACAGAGCGAGACUCCGUCUCAAAAAAAAAAAACAAAAACAAAAAACAGAGUGAGACUCCGUCUCAAAAAAAAAAAAAAAGAAAAACAUAGGCCAGGCACAGUGGCUCAUGCCUGUAAUCCCAGCACUUUGGGAGGCUGAGGCGGGCAGAUCACGUAAGGUGAGGAGUUCGAGACCAGCCUGGCCAACAUGGCGAAACCCCGUCUCUACUAAAAAUAGAAAAGUCAGCCAGACAUGAUGGCACGCACCUGUAAUCCCAGCUACUCAGGAGGCUGAGGCAGGAGGAUUGCUUGAACCCUGGAGAUGGAGGCUGCAGAAGGUUGCAGUGAGCCAAAAUCAUGCCACUGCACUCCAGCCUGGGUGACACAGCAAGACGGUCUCAAUAAUAAUAAUAAUAAUAAAAACUUUAAAAAAAAGAGGUUUGAGGCAGCUGUUCACUCCAUCUGCCACAUGGUGGCACAGCAAGCGGGCAACUAUGAAGCAAGAGUGAGCCCUGACUAAGCAUCGAAUCUGCUGGGGCCUUGCUAUUGGACUUCCCAGUCUCUAGAACCAUGAGAAAUAAAUUUCUAUCAUUUAUAAAUUA